GCCCUUGUGGCGCAGUGGUAUGCGCGCUCCGCUUCUAACGGAAAGGUCCGGUGUUCGACCCACCGCUGGGGUU
rnacentral:tRNA from 1 species